rnacentral:rRNA from 1 species
GAAUUCCUGGUGUAGCGGUAAAAUGCGUUAAUAUCAGUAAGAACACCAAAGGCGAAGGCAAUCUACUGGAACACUCCUGACACUGAGGGACGAAAGCGUGGGUAGCGAAUGGGAUUAGAUACCCCAGUAGUCCACGCCGUAAACGAUGGAUACUAGAUGUUGGCACACCAUUCGUGUCAGUGUCGUAGCUAACGCGUUAAGUAUCCCGCCUGGGGAGUACGGUCGCAAGAUUAAAACUCAAAGGAAUAGACGGGGACCCGCACAAGCGGUGGAGCGUGCGGUUUAAUUCGAUAUUAAGCGAGGAACCUUACCUGGGCUUAAAUCACAGCUGCAAGCCUCCCGAAAGGGAGGAAUUCUUCGAGAGUGCUGUGAAGGUGCUGCAUGGUUGUCGUCAGCUCGUGGCGUGAGCUGUUCCCUUAAGUGGGGUAACGAGCGCAACCCUUGUCCUGUGUUACAUGUGUCACAGGAGACUGCCCUCGCAAGAGGGAGGAAGGUGAGGACGACGUCAAAUCAGCAUGGCCCUUACGUCCAGGGCGACACGCGCGCUACAAUGGCAGGUACAAUAGGCAGCCAACCCGUAAGGGGGAGCAAAUCCUAAAAACCUGUCCCAGUUCGGAUUGAGGUCUGCAACUCGACCUCAUGAAGUUGGAAUCGCUAGUAACGGCGGAUCAGCCACGCCGCCGUGAAUACGUUCUCGGGUCUUGUACUCACCGCCCGUCACGUCAAGGGAGUUGGUAAUACCCGAACGUCGCCGUAGGGCGGCGGAAGGUAGGACCGAUAACAGGGACGAAGUCGUAACAAGGCACCCGUAGCGGAAGCUGUGGGUG